rnacentral:rRNA from 1 species
CUUGUUGGUGGGGUAGUGGCCUACCAAGGCGACGACGGGUAGCCGGCCUGAGAGGGUGACCGGCCACACUGGGACUGAGACACGGCCCAGACUCCUACGGGAGGCAGCAGUGGGGAAUAUUGCGCAAUGGGCGGAAGCCUGACGCAGCGACGCCGCGUGGGGGAUGACGGCCUUCGGGUUGUAAACCUCUUUCAGCAGGGACGAAGCGAAAGUGACGGUACCUGCAGAAGAAGCACCGGCCAACUACGUGCCAGCAGCCGCGGUAAUACGUAGGGUGCAAGCGUUGUCCGGAAUUAUUGGGCGUAAAGAGCUCGUAGGCGGUUUGUUGCGUCGGCUGUGAAAUCCCGAGGCUCAACCUCGGGUCUGCAGUCGAUACGAGCAAACUAGAGUGUUGCAGGGGAGACUGGAAUUCCUGGUGUAGCGGUGAAAUGCGCAGAUAUCAGGAGGAACACCGGUGGCGAAGGCGGGUCUCUGGGCAACAACUGACGCUGAGGAGCGAAAGCGUGGGGAGCGAACAGGAUUAGAUACCCUGGUAGUCCACGCCGUAAACGUUGGGCGCUAGGUGUGGGGCUCAUUCCACGAGUUCCGUGCCGCAGCUAACGCAUUAAGCGCCCCGCCUGGGGAGUACGGCCGCAAGGCUAAAACUCAAAGGAAUUGACG